rnacentral:ncRNA from 1 species
AUAAAAGCCAUGAUGAAGACAAGUAAAAAAAACAUUUCACCACCAGUGAGCUGGAGAUAGUGUGAAUCCAGUGGUAGAGUUUUUUUGAAUAACACUUCGGAGUUGUAAACUGAAAUAUUUGUAUGCUGUGUUUUAAGCAAGAUCUUUCACACAGGUUCAGAUUAAAGUAGGUACGCCGUAUUCCAUACGUUACUUUGGAUACCAGUAGUAGCUGGAAAGAGACCAACAAUUAGAUGGUAAAUUAGGUGGCACCACGGAUAAGCGCCAGUUCGUCCUAUUA